rnacentral:lncRNA from 1 species
GUUUGUAUACAAACUUUGUAUAAUAUGUCUAGCACGUGACUGAGUCUGGCUUUGUAUGCUGUUGGCAAUAGGUUUGUAGUAUUUUGUGUUGUUCAACUGUCUCCGUGCCUCCAGUGCAUAUUGUUGUGAAUCCAUGAUGACAAUUUUUGAUCCUUUAUCCGCUGGUUUUAUGAUGAUAUUGGGAUUAUGUUUCAGAGCUGAGAUCGCUGUCCUGUCCUCCACCGUCAUUACGUCCAUUCUUUGAAAGAGCGGUGUGUAACGGUUUAGAAUGGUGAUGUCCCGGCGGAUCAGCCUCUGUGUGUGUUUGCUUAUUGCGUCGCAAGGAGGCUCCCAGCUCGACGGUAGCACGAACGGCGGCUGUGUCAUAUUCUCAUCCUGGAAGUACUCGAUCAGUUUGAUUCUUCGAUGGAAGUUAUGGAGGUCCCGGCGCAGCGUUGUCCGGUCUAGCGGGUUGGGAGUGGGGAUAAAAGUAAGUCCCUUCUCCAAUAGACGAAUUUGAAGUGUGUUCGGUUCAAAGAGUGUGGACAGGUUUAAAAUGUUUGAUGGAGAGCUCCAGGACAGGUCCGGUUUUAUCCGUGGAUUCGGGUGUGUAUUUAUUGUCAAGUCUGAACGAGGGAGCACGAUAUCCGUGUGUUGGAAGUGAGUGCUGUGCGCGAGGGAGGGAGGCGUCGAGAGAGCAUGAGGGCGGGGCUGAGCUCCGGAGAGAGUUUUUGUUAUUUUUUCACUCACCGAGCUUCCACUGUCCCGUAGUGUUUCCUCCGUGUCCAGAAUGGACCUCACGGCUAUUUUAAAUUUAGCUGCAGCUCUGCGCACCAGUGAUGGAACAUGUUUCUGGCGGUGUCCUUCGUCCAGUGUAUGGCGUCCUGUGUGGUGGCAAAUUCCUCGGCUGGCAGCGGACUUAAGAAAGGAAUGCGUCGCUUUGCGUGUGGAGAGAGUGGAGUCGCUGUCCGCUGCUUGUUCGGUUCGGACUGGAGAGGAUAUUGGACGGCAGUAAGUGGCGGUGAUUUGGGAAUCUGUGCAGUCGGUGAGGUAAAAUUACGUCCCUCUAGGGUGAUCUGCUUGGCAGGUGACCUGGCAGGCUGGGGGGGAGGGAUGUUCUCCUCAUUAGAAAUCGCUCCUCCCGUUGUCGUUGCUGGUCUGCUGUGUCGGGGUCCGAAAUCGCCCCCUGGCUCCGGUAAGGAGGGAAAUUCCUCCUGGUCCUCCAGGUUCAGGUCGAGCGCUGUUUUGAGCCUGGGUCUCUCUAUGGGGGAGGGAGGUAGGGAGUCCAGAGCAUGAAGUUGUUCGGGUCGGUCCU